UAGUGUUGGACAACAUGUUUUCAAAGUUUCAUCAAUUGGAACAACAGGAACGCAGAAAGUGUUUGGAUCAAAAGUAUUGUUUUUGGAACCAUUAUUUUUCUAUCCACUUAAUUCCUCUCUCUUGAAUAUAUGGGAGACAACGGAUUUAUCAUUCUCAGAAACAAUAGAGACACACUUUUUACAUGAGAUAGUUAAAAUGGUUUCUUUCUCUCAAAACCGCAAAACUGUCUUUCUUCCGCUAAUUCACAAUGCCUGAAGACUUCACAAAACUAUUCUUUAGUCAGAAAAAUGUUAACAUGGGAGCUCCGCCAAUAAAUGAAAAUUACCAUAAACUUAUAACAAAUUCUGAAGUUUUAGAUAUAGCUAACCAAGUAAUAAGUGCAAUUCAGCCUAUGUUCAUAAGGCUAACAAGCGAAGUGCAAAGCUUGCGUAAGGAGUUGCAGGAGCUCAAACCAGAAAGAAAGAAAACAAAAACUUUAGUAAUGCCUUCCGUUCCAUUCAAGGAUAUUGAGUCGUUUCUGGAAUUUGAAAAAGGUCUCCAAGAAAUAAACGAAGCAUUUAUUUCUCUUGAAAGCGAACUGAAACUUGUUGCCAAGGCACCAAAUUUCGUAAAGAAUAUCUGAAAAAAAUAAUAACAGAUUAAUUGGGAGAACGACUCUGCUGGAAAGGGACGGAGACAAAGAGAAGUGUUCGCAAUUUUAGUACAACAAAAGCAAUACGAAAUGCAACUUUAUCAUUGGGCUACACGGAGGACACAUUCAUUAAGGACAAGCGCACUUUCUUUCAAUUCGCUAAAAAUCGCAUAAAGCUGCGAAACGAUUACAAAAACAAAAAAAAAUAAAAUGUAAAUUAAAA